UAGGGAAUCUUUCACAAUGGGCGAAAGCCUGAUGGGGCAACGCCGCGUGUGUGAUGAAGGGUUUCGGCUCGUAAACACUGUUGUAAGAGAAGAAUGACAUUGAGAGUAACUGUUCAAUGUGUGACGGUAUCUUACCAGAAAGGAACGGCUAAAUACGUGCCAG
rnacentral:rRNA from 1 species